rnacentral:tRNA from 1 species
UCUCUGCUAGCUCAACUGGUAAAGAAUCUGUCUGGAAUGCAGGAGACCCUGGUUUGAUUCCUGGGUAAGGAA